rnacentral:rRNA from 1 species
AGUGAACGCUGGCGGUAGGCCUAACACAUGCAAGUCGAACGGCAGCACAGUAAGAGCUUGCUCUUACGGGUGGCGAGUGGCGGACGGGUGAGGAAUACAUCGGAAUCUACUUUUUCGUGGGGGAUAACGUAGGGAAACUUACGCUAAUACCGCAUACGACCUACGGGUGAGAGCAGGGGAUCUUCGGACCUUGCGCGAUUGAAUGAGCCGAUGUCGGAUUAGCUAGUUGGCGGGGUAAAGGCCCACCAAGGCGACGAUCCGUAGCUGGUCUGAGUGGAUGAGCAGCCACACUGGAACUGAGACACGGUCCAGACUCCUACGGGAGGCAGCAGUGGGGAAUAUUGGACAAUGGGCGCAAGCCUGAUCCAGCCAUACCGCGUGGGUGAAGAAGGCCUUCGGGUUGUAAAGCCCUUUUGUUGGGAAAGAAAAGCAGCAGGUUAAUACCCCGCUGUUCUGACGGUACCCAAAGAAUAAGCACCGGCUAACUUCGUG